rnacentral:rRNA from 1 species
GAUGAACGCUAGCUACAGGCUUAACACAUGCAAGUCGAGGGGCAUCAGUUUGGUUUGCUUGCGAAACCAAAGCUGGCGACCGGCGCACGGGUGAGUAACGCGUAUGCAACUUACCUAUCAGAGGGGAUAGCCCGGCGAAAGUCGGAUUAAUACCCCAUAAAACAGGGGUCCCGCAUGGGAAUAUUUGUUAAAGAUUCAUCGCUGAUAGAUAGGCAUGCGUUCCAUUAGGCAGUUGGCGGGGUAACGGCCCACCAAGGCAUCGAUGGAUAGGGGUUCUGAGAGGAAGGUCCCCCACAUUGGAACUGAGACACGGUCCAAACUCCUACGGGAGGCAGCAGUGAGGAAUAUUGGUCAAUGGACGAGAGUCUGAACCAGCCAAGUAGCGUGAAGGA